GACGAACGCUGGCGGCGUGCCUAAUACAUGCAAGUCGAACGCACUCUCGUUUAGAUUGAAGGAGUUUGCUCCUGAUUGAUAAACAUUUGAGUGAGUGGCGGACGGGUGAGUAACACGUGGGUAACCUGCCCUAAAGUGGGGGAUAACAUUUGGAAACAGAUGCUAAUACCGCAUAAAACUUAACACCGCAUGGUGUAGGGUUGAAAGAUGGUUUCGGCUAUCACUUUAGGAUGGACCCGCGGUGCAUUAGUUAGUUGGUGAGGUAAAGGCUCACCAAGACCGUGAUGCAUAGCCGACCUGAGAGGGUAAUCGGCCACACUGGGACUGAGACACGGCCCAGACUCCUACGGGAGGCAGCAGUAGGGAAUCUUCCACAAUGGACGAAAGUCUGAUGGAGCAACGCCGCGUGAGUGAAGAAGGUUUUCGGAUCGUAAAACUCUGUUGUUGGAGAAGAAUGUAUCUGAUAGUAACUGAUCAGGUAGUGACGGUAUCCAACCAGAAAGCCACGGCU
rnacentral:rRNA from 1 species